rnacentral:rRNA from 1 species
CGCUGGCGGCAGGCCUAACACAUGCAAGUCGGACGGUAACAGGAGAGAAGCUUGCUUUUCUUGCUGACGAGUGGCGGACGGGUGAGUAACGCGUGGGAAUCUACCCUUUAGUUGGGGACAACAUAUGGAAACGUAUGCUAAUACCGAAUGUGCUCUACGGAGUAAAGGUGCCCUCUCCUUGGAAGGUAUCGCUAAAGGAUGAGCCCGCGUUAGAUUAGCUAGUUGGUAGGGUAAAGGCCUACCAAGGCGACGAUCUAUAGCUGGUUUGAGAGGAUGAUCAGCCACACUGGGACUGAGACACGGCCCAGACUCCUACGGGAGGCAGCAGUGGGGAAUAUUGCACAAUGAGGGAAACCUUGAUGCAGCCAUGCCGCGUGUGUGAAGAAGGCCCGAGGGUUGUAAAGCACUUUCAAUUGUGAGGAAGAUUAAGUAGCUAAUACCUGCUUAGUUUGACGUUAACUUUAGAAGAAGCACCGGCUAACUCUGUGCCAGCAGCCGCGGUAAUACAGAGGGUGCAAGCGUUAUUCGGAAUUACUGGGCGUAAAGCGCGCGUAGGCGGACUGUUAAGUCGGUUGUGAAAGCCCUGGGCUCAACCUAGGAACUGCAUCCGAUACUGGCAAUCUAGAGUUUAAGAGAGGGAAGUGGAAUUCCAGGUGUAGCAGUGAAAUGCGUAGAUAUCUGGAGGAACAUCAGUGGCGAAGGCGACUUCCUGGCUUAAAACUGACGCUGAGGUGCGAAAGCUUGGGUAGCGAACGGGAUUAGAUACCCCGGUAGUCCAAGCCGUAAACGAUGUCAACUAGCUGUUGGUCUUAUUAAAAAGAUUAGUAGCGAAGCUAACGCGAUAAGUUGACCGCCUGGGGAGUAC